AUUCAGAUAUUUAUUUCCGUCAUGCAAGAAAUAUUGUACAAAUAAACAGUAAAAAUAAAUCGAGAGAAGAAAUAACAGACGUACAAUAAUUCGACUGCAAUAGACGAGGAGUCGCGAAUAAACUAUAAAGUUAACGUGUCAGCGACACCUAAAUAGCUGUAAACAGCAGCAGAUGAAGUUAAAUAAACAGGAUUUAAACAUAUAUAUUUUUUGAAUGAACACAAUUUGGAAAAUGUAAGUCGAAUUGGGGAAGUCAGUUAGGAGAAAAUAGUUAAAUCGAAGAUAAUCAUGAGAAACGAGAGAAAAACAAGAGCGCGUCAGGAGGGGAAAAAUGCUCAAAUCGUCAGCGUCAUGCUCGGGUCGGCACCGUCACAGCUGUCGGGCUUCUGAUUGACAUGACGCUGCCUUGCGGAGAUAAAUUACGGGGAAUUCCCAGCAAACCAUAAUAAGGGAAUUAGUUUUGGAGGUAUAAAUACAUAAUGAAGUUUGGGCAACAGAAUCACAAUACGAGAGGUUAAGUACACGGCGAAGAGAUUUGGGGUAACGUAGCUUGUGGAAGAAUAGUGAAAAUAUUCAAUAACACUGGAAAUGAAUGAUAUGAACAAAUAAGAAAAACAUCACAUUCAGCAAAAUUGUCAUCAAAUACAGGAUUGAUGACCAGUGAAUUAGACUACUGGAUGUUAUAAGCAUUGAGUAUUCACUCUGGAUUGAAGCACAACAUGAGACUUAUCACUAUCGAGAAGGUUCGUAUCGUCAGCGAAUAAUUUGGAAAAUAGAGUGGAGCUACAUGCAAGAUCAUUAAUAUAAAUUAAGAACAGAGCCGGACCCAAGGACGAACCCUGGGGAACCCCAUGGGUCACAGAUUUGAAGAUUGGAAUUACUCUGGCAAUUUUCAGUGAAGAUGGA